GCCUUUGUGGUGUAGUGGUCAGCACGCUCGACGCGUAACCGAGAGGUCCGUGGUUCGAUUCCCGGGGAAGGCG
rnacentral:tRNA from 1 species